rnacentral:rRNA from 1 species
UACGAAGGGGGCUAGCGUUGCUCGGAAUGACUGGGCGUAAAGGGCGCGUAGGCGGAUUGGUUAGUCAGACGUGAAAUUCCUGGGCUCAACCUGGGGGCUGCGUUUGAGACGGCUGAUCUAGAGUUUGGAAGAGGGUCGUGGAAUUCCCAGUGUAGAGGUGAAAUUCGUAGAUAUUGGGAAGAACACCGGUGGCGAAGGCGGCGACCUGGUCCUUGACUGACGCUGAGGCGCGAAAGCGUGGGGAGCAAACAGG